rnacentral:rRNA from 14 species
UGACCUGCGGAGGAUCAUUA